ensembl:lncRNA
CUCCGUGUCAUCUCCCCGCCGCCAUCUCGUGCGCGGGGCGCGCGGCCGCGCGAAUCGCGGCUCCUGUGAGGUGAGGGUGGUCCUUUCGGAAAGGCGUUCGAGGCCGCGGGGCCGUGACGUGCAAGGCGGACACCCGCACUUCCUUACAGUGGGCGAGUCCAGCACGACGCUCCGCCUCACCUUCCUCCCGGGUCGUAAAAGCACAGACACACAGAGUCGGGUGCUAUCUGCUUGCUGACAAUCACUUCUGGCAGCCCCGUUCUACUGAUGCUGUAAUAGGAUUAGCGUUGUAGCUGCCACUGCCCCCAGGAGGAGUCUUGAGGCGUGGAGUCAACCGCCUUGCCAUAGACAACCUCCUGGGUGGACCUCCCACAGCAUCUGCACCUGUCUUUGGAGUUCCAGAGCCUCAAACCUAUGGUGUAAAUGCAUCUGGGAAGGCAGCAUAGGUAGGGAGGGAGUUCUGUUUCCAUUCCUUUCUGUCUCUUAGGUUCCCCACCCCCUGCCCGACUGCAACAGGGCAAGGGGUCCACUGCUUAUCUGAAUUGUUAUCACACCGCUGCCUUUCUCACAGAUAUGGCAGGGAGCUGCUCCACCAGUUUGUCUCCUGCUCACACUCCCUGAUGCUCUUUAAUCUCUUCAGCUCUGCCACCAGGCUGAGCAGGUCAUCCACCUCAUGCAGAUGGUAUUUCUGCCAUCGUGCGGGGGCAGCAGCAGGCUCAGGCACCCCCCGCAUCUAGAGACCCGAAGAGUGGGUAGGCACUCAGUCUGGGUAGCCACGUUCCUUUUGGCAAGAGCUUUCUGCCUAAUGGGGACCACGGCUGGAUUUGUAGCCUGG